GCUUAACAUAAGUAAGUUAGCUAACCUGUGGUUAAAGGAGCUACUUGUAGAAUUUGCUAUCGCUUAGCCACAAUAAGCUACAAUAAGGUGUGAGGGUUAAUGAUUUCAGACAAAUAGUACAUCUAAAUUUUAGUUAAAUUUAAAAAGCCUUUCUACACUGUUUUUGGAAAUGUCAUAUUUGUACUUCAAAUAUGAAUUUGUAAUCACAGCUUAGCCUUAAAUGUAUUCCUUUUUUUGUCAUCUUUAAAUCAAGACAGAACCUUUUUCUGUUAUCCAUAGCUACAAUGCGUCUGACCCCUGUGCUUCAGCAAAUUAGAAAUGGCAUUUUUUUGUCUUUCAUACUGGAGUUGAUUCGGAGGCACCAAAACUCUGUGGUCAAACCGAUUGUUCUCAAAGAAGAUGACGGCAGACCGGAUGCUGAUUACAUAAUGAAAAUCCCAGUGCCUGAGCUGAGUGAGAUGGGAAGUCCAAGCAAGUAAGAGAAAAUGCCAUCAUCAACUUCCUCCAGGACUUUUUGCAAGAUCUUGAGAGCACAGACUUUUUUUUUUUUUUUUUUUAACAGAAACCAAAACUUCUGGCUGUUUAAAUUUGCAAUGCAGUCAGCUCUUACACAAAAUGAGUAGAGCAGAACCUGAGUCAACAUACAUGACCCACAUGUGGUCGUCAAUAUUAUACAUCCCUAAUCAAAUUUAAGACUAUGUUUAGGGUUUGAAGUACUAAAGGGGGACUCAUUCUGUGAUAAGGUCAUGUGACAACAUAAUAUAGCCUAAUACAAAUUUAAUCAAAAGAUUGCAUACUGGGCAACUGUAUUGUUUUGGAAUAAAUCAUUCUAGACAAAG